GACGAACGCUGGCGGCGUGCUUAACACAUGCAAGUCGAACGGAAAGGCCCUGCUUUUGUGGGGUGCUCGAGUGGCGAACGGGUGAGUAACACGUGAGUAACCUGCCCUUGACUGUGGGAUAACUUCAGGAAACUGGGGCUAAUACCGGAUAGGAGCUCCUGCUGCAUGGGGGGGGUUGGAAAGUUUCGGCGGUUGGGGAUGGACUCGCGGCUUAUCAGCGUGUUGGUGGGGUAGUGGCUUACCAAGGCUUUGACGGGUAGCCGGCCUGAGAGGGUGACCGGCCACAUUGGGACUGAGGUACGGCCCAGACUCCUACGGGAGGCAGCAGUGGGGAAUCUUGCACAAUGGGCGGACGCCUGAUGCAGCAACGCCGCGUGCGGAAUGACGGCCUUCGGGUUGUAAACCGCUUUCGCCUGUGACGAAGCGUGAGUGACGGUAAUGGGUAAAGAAGCACCGGCUAACUACGUG
rnacentral:rRNA from 1 species